rnacentral:rRNA from 1 species
UACGUAGGGGGCAAGCGUUGUCCGGAUUUAUUGGGCGUAAAGAGCGUGUAGGCGGCCACACAGGUCUGCUGUGAAAACUCGAGGCUCAACCUCGAGCUGUCGGUGGAAACCGUGUGGCUAGAGUCCGGAAGAGGAGAGUGGAAUUCCUGGUGUAGCGGUGAAAUGCGCAGAUAUCAGGAAGAACACCAGUGGCGAAGGCGGCUCACUGGCCCGAUACUGACGCUGAGGUGCGAAAGCGUGGGGAGCAAACAGG